rnacentral:lncRNA from 1 species
UUCUCUGCAGCCAGGAUUUUCAUCAGUCAGGCUCCUGGCUAAAGUUCAGCUUUCAGCUGCAUUUAGCCAAAGCCUGACUGUAAGCUGCUCCAGACAAGGAUGGUUGCUUCUGAAACCAGGAGAUAGAGGCAACAGAACCCCAGCAUAAUCAGGCAUCUGCUUUGGAGUUUGACUUCCUUGUCUCAGUUAUAGAGGGCAUGUCUUCUGCAAAGAAGUUACAAGAUCAAUCUUCAGCUUUUGACAGAGACUAGGAAACACAUGAAGGAGGGUGCCAAGACAUGAAUCAGCAUCACCUAAUGGAUCUUUAAAGUUACUGCAGGAUUUCAUGUCCAUGCCUAGAAUGAAGAUGUUAAAAACAAGUUUUAUGACCAUCUACUUUCAAUUUCUCUGCUUCCUUCUGGAAAGCCAGGGAGGAGGGAAUGAGGUAUGAAUCAGCAGCACUGAUGGAGAUCUCCAUGGAUACAUCAGGAUUUUACGUUCAAACCUAGAUAUGAGAUCUCUCUCUCCUGAUUGGAUCUGAUUCCAUUCUCUAUCUUAAUACACAUUCUCAAUCAACCAGAAGCAAGGAGAGCAAAUACAUUUCUCUGCAGGGUAACCCAGUGUGGACAAAUUGAGGAAUGAAUCAGCUGCACUGAUAGUGAUCUCCAAGGAUCUGAUAUCUAUGUCUAGAUAAGUGAUCUCUCUCCUGAUUGGAUCUGACUUCAUUCUCUAUUUGAAUACACCUUCUCAAUCAAUCAGAAGCAAGAAGAGCAAAUAAAUUUAUCUGCAGGAGAAGAUUUGAUCAGUCAGGCUGCUGGUGAUUCUCCAGGACUUAUCUGGUCCUGGAUAUAACCACUGCCAGACUGAAUGGUGCUAAAGAGAAGGGAGAGUGCUUGUGUCACUGUCAGCAGACACAGCCAGUGGAAAGCUGGGAAGGCUGUGCUUGUUUAUUCAGAGUCUCCAUGCAUUGAUUGCUUAGCUCCAUGUUUUUGAUAGUAGCUGUCACCCUAUAGGAAAUUCAGCUAUCUGAUUUGAAGUGUGUUUUACUUUUAUCAGUCAUGAAUGUUUGUGUCUUCUUCAAAGAAGAUACAAGAUUCAAACUUCAGCUUAUGGCACAGACUAGGGAAUAUCUGACAUAUUCAGAUCUUUUGUUUGGCUCCUGUGGGAACAACUGUUGUAGCAAAUAUCACCAAUUAACCACCAUGAAACCUCUGAAAAGGCCAUAGUUAGAUCAUACAGUACCCAGAGUCAAAUUACUCUUCAUACAGUGAUAGUAACCUGUUGGCAUUAAUGGCAGGAGGCAUUUUUAGAUACAACCACAAUUUAUCAUGUUAUUAUUGUUUUAAUUUACUAGAUUGUCUAGGUGGUCAUUUUUCCAAGUCAGUUUUUUUGCUAAAUUACAGUUCAGGGGAUCAUGACCCGUUACAGGAAUCACUGCAUUAUAUUUUGAUUAUCUACACCUUGGUAUUACAACAUGUAACAGGAGAAAAUGGACAGUUAUUUUCACUGUGACCUUGUACUAGUGAAUACCUCUAGACCUAUGCUUUUCUGCUUAUUUGCAUUCUGUCUUUAGAGAUCUAUACUUUGUGAUAUAACAUGGAUAUAUAUGAAACUGUCUUGCUGUGUUGAUGAUAUUCCUGACUGUCUUAGUCAGGGUUUCUAUUCCUGCACAAACAUCAUGACCAAGAAACAAGUUGGGGAGGAAAGGG